rnacentral:rRNA from 1 species
UGAGGAAUAUUGGUCAAUGGGUGCAAGCCUGAACCAGCCAUCCCGCGUGAAGGACGACUGCCCUAUGGGUUGUAAACCUCUUUCAGUACCGACGAAGCGCGAGUGACGGUAGGUACAGAAGAAGCACCGGCCAACUACGUGCCAGCAGCCGCGGUAAAUCACUAGUGAAUUCGCGGC